AUUCUCGUAGUUCAAUGGUAGAACAAUACUCUUCUAAAGUAUCCAUUUUGGUUCGAGUCCAAACGAGAAUA